rnacentral:rRNA from 1 species
CCUACGGGAGGCAGCAGUAGGGAAUAUUGCUCAAUGGGGGAAACCCUGAAGCAGCAACGCCGCGUGAAGGAUGAAUGCUUUAGGAGUGGAAAACUCUUUUGAGAGAGGAGAAAAUGGCGGUAUCUGAGCAUUAAGCAACGGCUAACUUCGUGCCAGCAGCCGCGGUAAUACGGCGGGUGCAAGCGUUAUUCGGAUUAACCGGGCGUAAAGAGGGCGUAGGCGGGUUUGUAAGUCAGGUGUGAAGUCCUGAAGCUUAACUGUAAAACUGCAUUUGAAACUGGGAGUCUAGAGUGCGGGAGAGGUAGGCGGAAUUCUUGGUGUAGGGGUGAAAUGCGUAGAUAUCACGAGGAAUACUGAUUGCGAAGGCGGCUUACUAGACCGUUACUGACGUUGAUGCUCGAAAGCGUGGGGAGCAAACAGGAUUAGAUACCCUAGUAGUC